rnacentral:tRNA from 1 species
GUUAGCGUGGCAGAGCCCGGUUAUGCAAAAGAUCUAAGCCCUUUCCUUAGGGGUUCAAAUCCCCUCUCUAACU